AGUCAGCGGAACCUUCAAGCCACUUAACCGAAUAUGCAAGUGAAGAAUGGGACGCCGAGACCGAGGAGGGAAUCCCAAGCGAGAGCUGCAGCCGACACUACCCCACUCCAGCCGCUGCUCCGCCUCACAUUCAAACCCUGGCAAAAUGGCGCGGCGGCUAAGGUGGCGGCCACUGCGCAUGUGCGAGUGAGACCGGGACGCGGGGUGGAGCCAGGAAUGCUUUGGCCCCACCCCGGCUGCGAGGGCCAAUCGGAACCAUUGCUCGGGUCUGCGGUGACGUCACAAGAGACCGUGCCUUUUGACGCAGGCUUCUGUUUUGGGUUUCUUUCCUCAGACCCUAGCAGGUUCUGCGAGUGGCUCCUAGUGGCUUCUAACUGUUGGAUGGAACGUGCUCGUUCACGCCUGAGCGAAGGGACAGAGCAGAGCGUCUGUUCUAGGACAAAUAGAAUAAACGAAUGAGUAAGAAUUUCAAGCUAGGGGAUAGCACGCUUGGUUAAGCAAGUGAUAGCUGCGCAAGGAAGAAGACGGGAGUUCGAAUCCCCAGCACCCACAUAAAAGCCAGCCUGACUACAAUUCCGUACCUGGGGAGGCAGACACAGGAAGAUCGCUGGGGCUUACUGGCCGGCCUGUCUAGCUAAUUCAAGUGCUUCUACCCUCAGCCCUCCUCCUCAUGCUGUCUGCAAGGCGGGAAACAAUGUCUCUACAGCAUGGAAGAUCAUUCUGAAAAGACGCAUCUCCUAUCGCGGGCUCCAUGGAAGACCAUUUCUUCUAUUUCCAUUCAGACGGAUGUGGGCACAUCCGCUCAUACUUGCAGAGAACAAGUGUCCUUUGGCCCAGUGAGGGACCACCGUGGAAGAGAACACAGAGGGAACUGAGAGCUGGAGAAGGCGCUGUUGAGGGACACCCACCGCUUCCGGGCAUGGCAUGGCUGGCUCCUGCAGUCUUGAACCCACAGCUACUGUACUAGAAGCAUGAAGGCACACUGGGACUCCCAGACUACCCAAACAACGGACCCCAGCAAGUUAGAUGUCUCCAAGAAUCUCAAGUUAGGAAACGAAAAAGCCUGGACAAACCAGAGGGGAGCCCUCCCAGGGACACCCUCCCCCCCAGCCCCACCCCCAGACUUGUUAGACUUCCUUGCAAUGGACUGGACCUGAGAGGAGGGUCAGCGGUUGGUGGGACCACACCUUGACCACAACUGCGGUUAUGAAUACUUCUUGCCUUCUACUUUAAGGUUUUUGUUUUGUUUUGUUUUGUUUUGUUUUUUCGAGACAGGGUUUCUCUGUAUAGCC
rnacentral:lncRNA from 1 species